rnacentral:rRNA from 1 species
UACGGAGGGUGCAAGCGUUAUCCGGAUUCACUGGGUUUAAAGGGUGCGUAGGUGGGCAGGUAAGUCAGUGGUGAAAUCUCUGGGCUUAACUCAGAAACUGCCAUUGAUACUAUCUUUCUUGAAUACCGUGGAGGUCAGCGGAAUAUGUCAUGUAGCGGUGAAAUGCUUAGAUAUGACAUAGAACACCAAUUGCGAAGGCAGCUGGCUACACGAAUAUUGACACUGAUGCACGAAAGCGUGGGGAUCAAACAGG